GUAGGUAUAGCUCAGUGGUAGAGUGCCUGAGUGCUCAGCAUGCACAAGGUCCUGGGUUCAAUCCCCAGUACCUCCG
rnacentral:tRNA from 1 species